rnacentral:rRNA from 1 species
UUCCUUGAGACCGCAUGGUUCAAGGAUCAGUGCGAAAGACGGUUUCGGCUGUCACUUACAGAUGGACCCGCGGCGCAUUAGCUAGUUGGUGGGGUAAUGGCUCACCAAGGCGACGAUGCGUAGCCGACCUGAGAGGGUGAUCGGCCACACUGGGACUGAGACACGGCCCAGACUCCUACGGGAGGCAGCAGUAGGGAAUCUUCCUGCAAUGGACGAAAGUCUGACGGAGCAACGCCGCGUGAGUGAUGAAGGUUUUCGCGAUCGUAAAGCUCUGUUGUUAGGGAAGAACAAGUGCGAGAGUAACUGCUCGCACCUUGACGGUACCUGACAACCAGAAAGCCACGGCUAACUACGUGCCAGCAGCCGCGGUAAUACGUAGGUGGCAAGCGUUGUCCGGAAUUAUUGGGCGUAAAGGGCUCGCAGGCGGUUUCUUAAGUCUGAUGUGAAAGCCCCCGGCUCAACCGGGGAGGGUCAGUUGGAAACUGGGAAACUUGAGUGCAGAAGAGGAGAGUGGAAUUCCACGUGUAGCGGUGAAAUGCGUAGAGAUGUGGAGGAACACCAGUGGCGAAGGCGACUCUCUGGUCUGUAACUGACGCU